CCAAGUGAAGUAAGAUACCACCUUUACACUUAAGACAUUGAUGAUAUCAAGCUUUUUUUUUGUCCUCAUGUUCCAGCUGUGCAGUGUCCGGCACUGACCGCUCCCGUUAACGGCGGACUGAGCACCGGUCCAGGUUCGAAUCUUUACCAGGACUCCGUGGUACAGUUCUUCUGUGACUCAGGGUACACUCUGCAAGGCAACACAGACACCACGUGUCAGGCAGACGGCACGUGGAGUAACAGCGUCCCUACUUGUACAGCACAUCCUGGGUACACAGAACGACAAGGGGCUUACUACAAGGUGUCUGCACAAGCCGUGACUUACACUGAAGCCAAGCAUGCCUGUGCAGCAGACGGGGCCCAUCUAGUCGAUAUCAAGACACAGGAGCUACACGACUUCCUUGUCAGCAUGAUUCAGACGGUUGAUUCAAGCCAAAAUUACUGGAUCGGACUCCGCGAUGUGUCAGUGGAUAACACAUGGACGUGGUCUGACGGAACUCUGCUCAGCUUCACCAACUGGGUACCAGGGGAACCCCGAGACCAGCGGAAAUGUGGGCAACUCUGGGCGCUUGAAGGUUUCAAAUGGGACAACGACUUCUGUUCUGAACAGAAGUACUUUAUCUGCCAAAUCGGUACAUCUUAUUAUUCUCAUAUUUUCCUAGCCUGACUAUCUAGAUCACGCUUCUAGCAGCCCUUUCAUUGGUAAUGCCAAUUGAAGCUUGUUGGCCAAAGUCUCUUAAGCUAACGUCAUAUUUCGAAACCGGGGCCCGGCCGGGCAGUUUGUGGAAACGAAAAAUGGAAAUGAAUGCUUAUAAAUAUACACAAAUAAUGUCCACUACUAUUCCCUUUACGUAUUGUGUAGUUUGGUGUCUUUUAUAUCAUACUUUUUGAUCCUAAUUCUGUUGAUGACUUUCUCCUUCAUCAGACUGUGAACUGUCUGUUACUGUGGUGUGAUGCAUCGAUGACUGGUUUUCAUGGCGACAGAACUCAUUAGAUUCUGUUUGGCUGUUUAUCGCUUACCGUUGGGGUAUUUUAUAGUGAAUAUUUAGUUCCUAUUGAUGACCCCAUGAAAGGGGAAUGGUGUUAACUGGCCGGCCUCUACCCCUUUGCUGCCAGGGAAUAAUCAAGUAUACACACAGACGUAACAGAACCACAUUGUAUUCACAUGAUGAGUCUCUCGAUACAGACUGACUCAAGCUACAUGCGUGGAUUGUACCACUAGCGGAGGAUCUAAGUAAUCUAACAAAUGGUUCUCUCGAGCUAGUGGUGAAUGUCCACAACACCUGGUUUUGUAUGUACGAAGAAUCUAGUUAUUCAGUGAUUUGCCAACAUGAUGAGACUGUUCAUGGAUGAGCUAGAUCAUACAUCUAAUCUACAUACCUAUUGAUCAGCUAUACCUUUCAUAAACAUAUAUAGAAUCUCUUUUAUUCCACUCCUUACAUGAACACCAGCUAAAUAUAACCAUAUUGUAGUUGUAGAUUGGAUUCACUCAGAUGUUAAUAAAAU